rnacentral:lncRNA from 1 species
CUUUAGUAUAAACAAAAGUAUAUCUCAAUAAUAACUUACGAUUAUUUGGCAUGUAUAAUAUUUUCCAUCUUCAUCGGUUUGUCAUUUAUCAAAACCUAUACAUAUGAACACAUUAGUUUUAACAACAUAAUAAAUGUGUUCUAACAAUUUCCCCCCUUUUGAUAAUGGCACACCUAUAUGGGGAUAUGUAUUAAAAAAAUGUUAUAGGAUAAUUAUGCCAAAUACAAGAUAAGUUAUAAUUGAGUUCCCCCUCAAUUUUUGCCAAAGUAAUUUAAAAAUUAUCAAAAUACUAAAAAUUUAAAUAAUGCACAAAAAUACAUAUACCCUUCUCUUCCCCCUUUUGACAUUAACAAAAAGGCAAUUUUAUUGAUGAAAGGAAAGAGUACAAAACAAUUUCAACAAAAAAUACAUUUAAAAAUCAUCAUCAAAUUCGUUGCUUGAAUCAUUGGAAGAGUGGACUUGAGUGUAGGGGUAGUUGACAUGGUCAAAGUACC